AGACAAAAGUGUGUCUUACUCUCUGGUUUCCAGGGUGACGAUGAUGAGGAUGGGGCGCCGGUUCAUUCCUCCCACACAGCUGGAGUUGCACAUGAAGUUGUACAGGAUGGUGGUAAAUUCUGUCCCCACCUGAGGAGGAGGAGAAUACCCACAGGAAGGGACUUUCAUUCAUGCUGCUCACCUGAGGAGGCUCGUAGGGAACCAAGACGCUCUGUCUUCCUGUGAUGGAGUCCUCCAGGUACUGGGCGUGGUUGUUUCCCUCCACUCGGAUCAGAUGGCUCGGAGGUGCGAUUUGGCCUGGAGGCAACAUGAGCUUCGUUAUAAACAGCUGAAGCUGGAGGAUAAUCUGGAGAACUGUGAGGAACCCACCGUCAUUAAACUCGCGGCUGAGCUCGUGGUUCGGGCAGCGCUUCACCACCUCAGUCACAUGCUCGGCUUUCUUGUACACUGGCAUGGCCCUGAUGACGGCUCCCUGCGGCGGCGGGGUCAACACUUUGAUCUGAAUGGGGCACGUCUUUGCAAUUUGGCAGUACAGCUUCUUCAGGUCUGUUGAGUACUGAAAUAUGGAGAAGAAAACAGAAAUGUGACUAUUUGCUAGGAGGAAAAAAAACCCACAUUUUUUUCCUAAAUUCUUGGAGAAGUUUUGAUCUGGGCAACACCUGUUGGCCCGAUUGAGCACUUCUGCUUUCCCUGAAGCAAAAAAAAAAAAAAAGGUUAAACACAACACUGUGAUUAUGAUCCGCUUAACAAAAACAACACCCGUGCAGGGUUUGGUGCUACAAGUGUGUAUUAAGCGACCUCAAAGAUCGCCUUCAGGACUUCCGAGGCACGCCAUAAAGUGGACCCCUCCAGGAGCAAUUAAACCAGCCCCGGCUUUCAUCUUCAAUGGGGGAGCACUCUGCUGAAGCAUCUGAUGGCCACUUAUCAUCCAGAGCAGGGCCUCUGAAGUGGCUGGCUGAGUGCAGGAGCCACAGAGGACGGCUGCUGCCAGAGUGUGCGGCUGCUCCCACAGGCUGGCAGAACCAGCAGUCACACAUAAUGGAUGUGCCUUGAUCCCUGGCACUGUUGGAGCUGAUGAGUAGUAAGCCACCAGAAAGACGGAAUUGUUACUAAUAGGCACAACCCAACUGUGUAAACAAAGCGUUGAAAUCAGUGCUGUGUAAGCAGAGCUUUAAAUCCUCUCUGUGCAGGAGACACAGGACGGGGGUGGAGGGAAAUAUUUCCCUGUCAGGUUUAUUUCUGGGGGAAGAGACGUGAAGAUUGUGAAAAACUGCUCGCGGCUGCAUUUGACAAUAAUGCAACAUAAAAUUCCACAUUUAUUCAAUGUGGUUUCCGUGAAAAGGAGCUCAUCCCAGUACCUGUCUGCGCCGAUUUUUAAAUAUUACUCAAGCUUGCCACAGACAUUCCCCCCCUCUGCUCCCCAGGCACAGCCUUUGUCUUCACAAGGACACACGUAAAACAGCUUUUCCUUUCCCAGCUGCGUGUUUUUGGCCGGGCACGUCACCCACGGACAGAACGCCCUCGUAAAGCAAGUGGAACGGCGUAAAACAAGAAGAAAACAGUGUUUUGAUUUGCCGUUUGUGCAUGAAUGUGUGCAAUUAAAGUGAUCCAGACUAGAACAG